rnacentral:tRNA from 1 species
GGCGAGGUAGCUCAGGCGGUUAGAGCGUCGGAUUCAUAACCCGGAGGUCGGGAGUUCAAGUCUCCCCCUCGCUACUA